UUUUACGGAGAGUUUGAUCCUGGCUCAGGAUGAACGCUGGCGGCGUGCUUAACACAUGCAAGUCGAACGAUGAAGCCCAGCUUGCUGGGUGGAUUAGUGGCGAACGGGUGAGUAACACGUGAGUAACCUGCCCUUAACUCUGGGAUAAGCCUGGGAAACUGGGUCUAAUACCGGAUAGGAGCGUCCACCGCAUGGUGGGUGUUGGAAAGAUUUAUCGGUUUUGGAUGGACUCGCGGCCUAUCAGCUUGUUGGUGAGGUAAUGGCUCACCAAGCGACGCGGGUAGCCGGCCUGAGAGGGUGACCGGCCACACUGGGACUGAGACACGGCCCAGACUCCUACGGGAGGCAGCAGUGGGGGAAUAUUGCACAAUGGGCGCAAGCCUGAUGCAGCGACGCCGCGUGAGGGAUGACGGGCCCUCGGGGUUGUAAACCUCUUUCAGUAGGGAAGAAGCGAGAGUGACGGUACCUGCAGAAGAAGCACCGGCUAACUACGUGCCAGCAGCCGCGGUAAUACGUAGGGGUGCGAGCGUAUCCGGAAUUAUUGGGCGUAAAGAGCUCGUAGGCGGUUUGUCGCGUCUGUCGUGAAAGUCCGGGGGCUUAACCCCGGAUCGGCGGUGGGGUACGGGGCAGACUGAGAGUGGCAGGUAGGGGAGACUGGAAUUCCUGGUGU
rnacentral:rRNA from 1 species